rnacentral:lncRNA from 1 species
ACCCGCGCCGGGCAGCCCCGCCGGCCGCCCUCACGCACGCGCUGUGCCCCGCGGGAGCUCCAGGCCGCCCCUCCUGCCGCCCAGCUUCGUGACUCCACGGCCCCACGCGCCCCUUGCUGCCUUCCGCUGGGGUUUCCGAGCCGCCCCCGAACCGCGCACCCGACUUGCAGGCGUCCGCCUGGGCCUCCCUAAGACACGCCGCAUACAGGACAGGCCCCUGGGCCUUCCGCGGCGAUGGCGCUGCGCUAAUGACGUCAUAGGCCCGGACUCGCGUGAGUGCGCGUGCGUUGGGGCCUCAGCCUUUAUCUCCACUCUGCGGAGAUUCACGCCUGGAAAACGCUCUUCUGAGAGGAUCUGUGGAGGUCAACCCAGGAGAGAGAAGACAGGACUGAAGCACUGAAAGGGUCCUGCCGUUAAGGGCGCAGGAUUGUAUAGAAUAUAUAAUAGCAGUAGCAGCUCUGUUUACGGAGCAUUAACCUUACGUGGAGUUAUUUCCUGCAUUUCCUCCUUUCGUCUUUACAAGGUAGCCGUUUGGCGUCGUGAGCGGAAAGUGACCAGAAGAGGUGUGCAGUUUCCAGGCCUGGCCCAUACAGACCUCCAACAGGUGCUCCCCUGUGCUGUUACUCCUUCUGCCAACUGGAAGCAGAUGGUGACCAGGCUCUGGAGAAGGCAAGGCCUGAAGAUGGGAGAUUCCUAAGUGGAGGAGAACUGUGCCUUACUGACCUAAAUAUCCACUCAGUAUUGUUAUGUGAGAAUAAAUAAACUUGUGUUGACCGUU